rnacentral:tRNA from 1 species
CGGGGUGUAGCUCAGCCUGGUAGAGCACUGUCUUCGGGAGGCAGGGGUCGUGACGGUUCGACGCAUCGAUUCAA